rnacentral:tRNA from 1 species
AGGGAUUUAGUUUAAAUUAAAAUUUUUGUUUUGCAUACAAAGGAUUUAAUCUCUG